rnacentral:rRNA from 1 species
GAUGAACGCUAGCGGCAGGCCUAACACAUGCAAGUCGAGGGGUAGAAGGAGCUUGCUCCUUUGAGACCGGCGCACGGGUGCGUAACGCGUAUGCAAUCUACCUUGUACAGGGGAAUAGCCCAGAGAAAUUUGGAUUAAUGCCCCAUAGUAUAUAACCUUCGCAUGUUGGUUAUAUUAAAGUUCCAACGGUACAAGAUGAGCAUGCGUCCCAUUAGUUAGUUGGUAAGGUAACGGCUUACCAAGACGAUGAUGGGUAGGGGUCCUGAGAGGGAGAGCCCCCAGAGUGGGACUGGGAAACCUGCCAGAGUCCUACGGGAGACAGCAGUAAGGAAGAUUGGACUGUGGUAGCAAGACUGAACCAGCCAAGCCUCGUGCAGCAAGGCGGUGCUAGGGAUGAUAAACUUCUGUUAGACAACAAGAAACCCUCCCACGGGUGCGAGCGUGACGGUACUGUAAGAAGAAGGAUCGGCUAACUCCGUG